AAAUGUUAUGCUGCUUCAUUUAAUAAAGGAGUCCCUUGGGUUUGUAUCUACAUAUAGAAUUGGAUGUCUCAAAUCUAAUAUCCAGUGAGCAUACAUUUUUAUUAGAUAGGGUGAUCGGAAUGGAGAAUUUGAAAAACCAGGAUAUACAGACCCAAUACUGUGGGGAAAUAUCCAAGCACAGGAUGAGAGGAGGUAACUAGCAUUUUUACCUGCUUUCCUCCACAACACAGCCUAAUUUUCUGGAGCAGAGUAGAUUAUGGGAGGAUCUAAAAGGUGUUCAAAGGAUCCAAACCUUAUGCUUAUGGGGAAAUCAUUUUCUCAAGGAGAGAACACCUUCUCAGACCUACUGUUGCCUUCCCUGCCCCCAUCUGCCUGCUAGUCAGAGGUAGGGAUGGCAGAAUUAGGAUUGUAGGAAGUAAGGUCACAAAGCUUUAAUUUAUUUAGACACACUUUGUAUUUUUAAUUGCAAGUCUAGAAUAGGGUAGUUUUUCCCUAAGAGAAAUAAGUAUGUGCAGUUAAUUCAAUAUAUUUGUGUAUAUACUUUUUUCCAUUUGGAAUUUUAUUAUGCAAUUCAGUCAUGUAUUGAAUAAGUUCUUUUAGAAUCCAGUAAAUAUUAUAGAAGUGCUUUUCUAAGGUUUUCCUUUUGUCAUUAACAGAUAUUCUGUGUUCAUCAGUCCUGGUCUUUUUAUCUGUCUAGUGUCUUUUGUCUUUGGAUUAGGUCAGCUUUGAUGCCAAAAUCAUGGGUUUAAUUCUUAUAUGGAUGAGUUCGUUUUGCUUUAUCUGGCCUUGUGAUUUUCAGAUUUUAAGAAGAAAAGUAGAUACACAAAAUAGAUAAAAAUGGAUUUCUUAAUUCAUUUAGUAUUUCUAUAAAAGAAUACCUGAGGCUGCAUAAUUUAUAAAUAAAAGAGGUUUAUUUUGCUCAUAGUUCUACAGGCUCUGCAAGAAGCAUGGCCCUUCUUAUGAGGGGCUUUUCUGCUCCAUCUGCAUCUAGUAAGGGGCUCAGGCUGCUUUCAUUCAUUGUGGAAGGUGAAGGGGAGCUAGGAUAUGCAGAGAUCACAUGGCAAGAGAGGAAGUGAGAGAGGAAGGGCAUGCCAGGUUCUUUUUAACAACCAGCUCUCAUGAAACUAAUAAAAGUGAAAACUCCCUCAUUAUCCCAAGGAAGGCACCAAGCCAUUCAUGAGGGAUCUGGCCCCAGGGCCCAGACACCUCCCCUUUGGCCCCACCUCCAACACCGGGGAUCUGAUUUCAACCUGAGAUUUGGAGGGGUCUGACAAACCAAACUAUAUCAGUGAGACUAUUCUGUGCUGAAACAGCCUACUUGGGCCUAUGAACUAACUACUUCAUGGUUCUGCCUGCACAUUGACUCACCCGUCUUCCAUUGAUUGAAUUCCUUCAAUCUUUGUAAAAUUCUCUGUGGAGGAUCCAUCAGGAGUGCUCCUUGGUAUUUACCCAAAUGAGUUCAAGACGUAUUUCUACACAAAAACCUCCAUAAAGAUGUUAAUAACAGCCUUAUAUUUACCAAAAUCUGGAAGCAACUAAAAUGUUCCUCAAAAGUGAAAGAAUUUUAAAAACUGAUAUAUUUGUACAAUGAGAUAUUAUUCAGCACUAAGUAGAAAUGAGGUGCUGGAGCCUUGGCUCAUGCCUGUAAUCCCAGCACUUUGGGAGGCCGAGACGGGUGGAUCACCUGAGGUCGGGAGAUCGAGACCAACCUGACCAACAUGGGGAAACCCCAUCUCUACUAAAAAUACAAAAUUACCUGGGCAUGGUGGUGCAUGCCUGUAAUCCCCGCUACUCAGGAGGCUGAGGCAGGAGAAUCGCUUGAACCCUGGAGGCAGAGGUUGCAGUGAGCUGAGAUCAAGCCAUUGCAUUCCAGCCUGAGCAACAAGAGCAAAACUCCGUCUCAAAAAAAAUUUAGCUGGGCAUGGUGGCGGGCACCUGUAAUCCCAGCUAGCUGGGAGGCUAAAGCAGGAGAAUCGCUUGAACCCCAGAGGCGGAGGCUGCAGUGAGCUGAGAUCGUGCCAUUGCACUCCAGCCUGGGUGACAAGAGCGAAAUUUCGUCUCAAAAAAAAAAAAAAAAAAAAACCCAGCACGGUGGCUCACGCCUGUACUCCCAGCACUUUGGGACGCCAAGGUGGGUGGAUCACCUGAGGUCAGGAGAUCAAGACCAGCCUGGCCAACAUGGUGAAACCCCGUCUCUACUAAAAAUACAAAAAUUAUCCGAGUGUGGUAACACGCACCUGUAAUCCCAGCUACUCGGGAGGCUGAGGCAGGAGAAUCACUUCAACCCAGGCGGUGGAGGUUGCAGUGAGCUGAGAUCGUGCCACUGCACUCCAGCCUGGGCGACAGAGCAAGACUCCAUCUCAAAAAAAAAAAAAAAAAAAAAAAGAAGAAAUGAGGCAUCAAGCCAUGAAAAGUCAUGGAGGAAUCUUAAAGGCUAUUAUCAAGUGAAAGAAACCAUAUGAUCCAGCAAUUCCUCUUCUGGGUUUAUACCCAAAGGAAAUGAAAUUGGUACCUUGUAGAGAUACCUGUGCUCCCAUGUUCAUUGUAGCAUUAUUCACGAUAGCCAAGUUAGAGAAACGACCUAAGUGUGAGUAAGUGGGUGGAUAAAAAAUUGUGAUAUGUACGUACAAUGCAAUAUUGUUCAGACCUCAGGAGAUCCUGCCCUUUUCAACAACAUGAAUAGACAUGGAGAACGUUAUGCUAAAUGAAAUGAGCCAGACACAGAAGGAAAAAUACUGCAUGAUCUCCCAUUCAUGUGGAAUCUAAAAAAGUCAAAUACAUAUGAACAGAGUAGAACAGUGGUUAUGUGGGGGAUGGGAAGAUGUUCAUCAAAGGGUAUAAAGUUGCAGUUAUGUAGAAUGAAUAAGUCUACAGAGCUAAUGUACAGCAUGGUGACUAUAUUUAAUAUUGUUUACUGAAAAUUUGCCAAAAGAGUACAUUUCAGGUGCUUUUACCACAAGGAAGGAAGAAAGGGAGGAGGAAGGGCGAGAGGGAAGGAAGGGAGAGAGGAAAGAAAAGAUAACUAUGUGAGAGGGUAGAUAUGUUAAUUUGCUUGACUCUAGUAAUCAUUUCUCUAUGUAUAUCAAAACAUCAUGUUGUACACCUUAAAUGUAUAUAGUAAAAAAAUCUGAAAAGGCUACAUACUGUAUGAUUCCAAGUAUGUGACAUUCUGGAAAAGGCAAAACUAUGCAGAAAAUAAAAAAGAUCAGUGGUUGCCACAGUUUAGCAGAGGGAGCGUGAAUAGGCAGAGCACCCUCACCUUUAGGACAGUGAAAUGAAUCUGUAUGAUAUUAUAAUAGUGGACACGUCUCAUUAUAUAUUUGUCAAAACCCAUAGAAUGUACAGCACCAAAAGUGAAACCCAUAGAAUGUACAGCACCAAAAGUGAACCCUAUAAUGUAAAUUAUGGACUUUGUGUGAUAAUGACAUGGGUUAGGGUAGGUACAUUGAUUGUAACAAAUGUACCACUCUGGUGCAGGAUGUUGAUUGUAGGGGAAGCUGUGCAUGUGUUGGGGGCAGGAGGUAUAUGGGAACUCUGUACUUUCUGUUCAACUUUGUUGUGAACCUAAAACUGCUCCUAAAAUUAUUAAAGAAAACACAAAUAAGGAAAGAAACAAACUCAGAGGAAAAGAGGAAACACAAUACAAGACCAGAUGAAAACUUAAAAAGCUACAUUUAAUAACUUUAGAGAACUAAAAGAAGAUACUGCAUUCUUGAAACAAAAAUAAGGAAUUAUAAAAGGGUAUAUUCAGAAAACCAAAAGUCCUAGAAGUCAAAAUUAGUUCAAUUGUUGGGUUGGGAGAGUUACAGAAGUUUCCUGGGGGUGGAAAAAAAGAGAAAGCUUGAAAAUGGGAGAGAAAAGAUAAGAAAAUUAGAAGAUCAGUCCAGGAAGUCCAACAUGCAAAUAAUAGAAAUUCUGCAAAAAGAAAAAAGUAAAAGGGAUGGUAGAAAAUUAUUAACAAAAUAAUACAAAAAAAUUGAUGUAACUGAAGGAAAUUAGUUUCAAGAUUAAAAGUUUUCCUCCUAGUGUCCAGUAUAAUACUUGUAAGAUAAUUGUUACCUAAGACAUACUGUGAAUGAUCAGAAAUCCAGUUAUAUAGAUAAUAUUCUAAAAGCUUACAGA